CGUGGGUUACGUUUCUUUUGCCUAACGAGAAAGAACGUUGGAGAAAGAACGUGGCUCCCUCUUUACUUUAUAUUCUUCCCCCUUUCCUCCUCUGUCCAAACAGAGCAAGUGGAAAGAUAUUAAUAUAAAAAGAUAAUCAUCAUCUCUUUAAUUUUCACUACUUUUCAUAUUCUAUUUACUGUGUAAGAUAUCGAAAUUCGACGAUAUUGGCUAACUUUGGCCAAAUGGACCAAAGUGAGCGAUUAAACGAAUUGGACGAGUCCCAUUCGAUGUUUCAAUAUGUUUGGAAGAGCAAAAAUGAGUUCCAAAAGUGUUGGAAUAGUUUUAGCGUUAUUGGACGCGAAAAGAAAUCAAAACAGAUUGAAAAUCAGCAAUCUGGAGCUGUUGUACCGGUACAAGGGUGAUGGCUGUACCGGUACAACCAUCGCAGCCAGGCUGCGUAAUCUCGGGUUCGAAGGCUUCAGGCGCUGUACCGGUACAAGGCUGGCUUGUACCGGUACAAGCUCUGCGAAACAGGCAAACCCGAGGCUCGGUUUGCGCUCGGUUUAAGGGCCUGUACCGGUACAAGGUCCCGUGUACCGGUACAAGGGCGCGGCAGCAGUGGGUUAAGUUGCAAAAUCUGUUAAAAGGAGGGCUUUUUAGCAUUUUGUUACAAUAGAGGUUAUAUCCCUCUUACUCUCAGCCCUCUUCCCUCUCACUCUCACAGCCCCUCUCUCUCUCUAGCUCUCUCUCUCUCUAACCGGUUGAAGGAGAAGAAGGAGAAAAGGAAAAAGAGAGGAAAAAGAAGGAAAAAGAGAGGAAGAAAAGGAAGGAGAAGAAGGAGAAGAAGGUUUUGGAGCUCUUCUUCACCUCAUUCUUGGCUUAGGGCUUGCUUUGGAGCAAACCCUAGAGGUAAGCCUCAACCCUUUUCAUGGUAACUUGGGUUUUGGUGAGGUUUGGUUGGUUUUGAUGGUUCAAAUGGAACCUAAUGAGCUUGGGAAACAUGGAUUUAGCUCACAAUGAAGCUAGAACCCAUAGCUUCUCAUGGAUCCUAACCCUAGGGUUAGAUUUGGGGUUUUUGGAAAUAUAAAGGUUUGAUCUCUUUUGAGGGGUUAGAAACCUAAUUGCUAUGCUUAUAAACGCGUAGGCGAAGACGGUUCGUCGAUCCGACAAGUGGGUGCGAAGAUAUCGCCAUUUGUUGUGCUAAGGGGUUAGAGCUAACCCAACGAAAAUUAAGCGGCGACAAGACUAGCACGAGAACGCGUCUCGGAGUGUUUUCGGCAUCACCCAAGGUGGGGGAGUGCCAUACCGAAGUCAUCGGGCAACCUUCUAUGUCCAAGUUUAAUGUUGAUCUAAUUGCAUCUUGUUAUAUCCAUAUAGGGUUAGGAAAUGAUUAUUGUUGCUUAUACUUGCAUGCUAGUAGUUCAAUAAAUAUAUUUUGCUUGGUUGGUUAUGAUCUAGUAUGCAUGAUGAUUGUUGAUGAAAACUACAUGUUGAGAAUCUAGACCCUAUAUGAGAUGAUUAAUGUUUAUGUUGCUAAAGAACUAGUAUGAUGAAACUAGUGUUAAUAAUGAGUCAAAAUUGAUGAGUGGCAUCUAGUUUAGAAAACUAUGACAAGUGGCAUCUAGUUAGAAAAACUAUGAUGAUUGACAUUGAUGAUGUUUCCUUGAGAUGAUCACAUUAGUGUAGUUGAGACACUAUGAGAUUGGGUACAAGUAUACCUUGAUUCCAUGAUGAUAUUACCCUCAAAGGGGUUGUUGCUGUUGCUCGUGAGAUGAUCUUGCUCACAUUGCCUGUCUGCGCUUGGUGGGGUCGCUCCCCUCAAGUUGUGCGCUCCGGAGUUUGGUCACUAGAGAGGCAGCCCUGCUCGCUGCUCGGAUAGCCGCUUGUUAUCCGCAGGCGUACUCGGGGAUAGUCCAGCUCGACAUCCCUAGGAGAUUGAUAUGUGAGCCUUGCUUGUGGACCUCGUGUUCACUUGGAGAUUGGGUUACCUAUUGAGUCCUACCCAUGAUUGAUGUUCAUAGUAGCUAUUCAUUGUUCAUAUCAGCUUACUUGCUUACCUAGUAGCAUAUUCUAUAGUUACUAUGAUAGCUGUUGUAGAUGUUGAUAGUUGCUUACUUACCCAGCUUGUUUAUUGUUCAUGCAUUCAUGAUUCCAGAUUGAGGCAUAGCUUGAUAUAGUUGUUUACAUACCGCUUUUUGUUUAGUUCAGUUUUAUAUGUAUAUUGCAUAUAUAUCUCUCUAUGCCUGCUUGAGACCUAGUGGGUAGAUCGGCGGAGUCGGCGGCCGAACCCACUGGGAACUAUUCGUAGUUCUCACUCCCGUGUGGUUUUGGGAGUACAGGUGCACAGGACAGCGGGCCUUCGUCGAUGGAUCGCGGUAAGGGCAUAGCGCCCUAGCUUUGAUAGAUAGCUUUCUUCACCUACUUGCAUUAGCUCUAUACCCUGUACUUUUGGUUAUGCUUUGAGAGUAGAUGUUGUAUAGGGUGAGGUUUUGGAGAGUUCAUGAUGUAUAUUCAUUUGAGAAAAGAAUGCAAGUUGUAUUAAAUGUUUAAAGUUUAAAUGAUAUCGAAAGAGGUUUGAUGUUUUCAAUGAUGUCUCAAAUAGCUAAGUUGCUCUCUUUUGUAUACUUGUAUGAUUUUACUUGUAUCGCUUGCUCUAGUUGGUUGUAGCACUGUUCGUGCUCUCGUUCAUCGUUGUUUGAUUGUGUAUGUAUUCAAGUUGUAUUCCUGGGGACUUGUUGUACACAAUCUGUUGCUUAG
rnacentral:lncRNA from 1 species